GCCCCGGUAACUCAGUGGUAGAUUUAAUUAAUAAAAAUUAAUUAACACUAUAGUGAGCGAAAGCGCCUAGCAACAACUAGCAGGUGGUCGCAGGUUCGAAUCCUGCCCGGUGGCU